rnacentral:rRNA from 1 species
AAGCCACGGCUAACUACGUGCCAGCAGCCGCGGUAAUACGUAGGUGGCAAGCGUUGUCCGGAAUUAUUGGGCGUAAAGGGCUCGCAGGCGGUUUCUUAAGUCUGAUGUGAAAGCCCCCGGCUCAACCGGGGAGGGUCAUUGGAAACUGGGGAACUUGAGUGCAGAAGAGGAGAGUGGAAUUCCACGUGUAGCGGUGAAAUGCGUAGAGAUGUGGAGGAACACCAGUGGCGAAGGCGACUCUCUGGUCUGUAACUGACGCUGAGGAGCGAAAGCGUGGGGAGCGAACAGGAUUAGAUACCCUGGUAGUCCACGCCGUAAACGAUGAGUGCUAAGUGUUA